UGGCUCUCGCAUCGAUGAAGAACGCAGCGAAAUGCGAUAAGUAAUGUGAAUUGCAGAAUUCAGUGAAUCAUCGAAUCUUUGAACGCACCUUGCGCCCCUUGGUAUUCCGAGGGGCAUGCCUGUUUGAGUGUCUUGAAAUCAUCAAACCGAACCGGUCUUUGCUGGCCGGCGCGGUUUGGACUUGGGGGUUUCUUUGCUGCCGCUCGCGGUGGCUCCCCUUAAAUUCAUCGGUCGGGCUUUCGUGCGGCUCUGUCCCUUGGCGUUGUAUUACCCUCGUCGCUGGAUGGCUCGCGAUACUGCGCCCUUCUUUGACCUGCCUCUGGAGCGGCGGUCUUCAACUUUUGUGAUCUGACCUCAAAUCAGGUAGGACUACCCGCUGA
rnacentral:misc_RNA from 1 species